GUCAGGCGCACAUGGAGACUGUGCGCCGCAGCGCGUUACUGAUGCGCACAGGGAAGGUUGCAGGGGGGAGGAGGGGGAAGGGGUGACGACAGACUCGUCUCUGGCUGCUCUCGAUAAGCCUCCGCGCCAAACCGGACAGCACGACUGAAGCGAGUAUCCAAAAGCGUCCGAAAAGUACGAGCAGUGCAGCGGCGCAGCUCCGCCCCGAGGUGGCCUGGAUCUGGAGUGAUCAAGUGCGAGGAGCAGCCAACUCUUCUAGGACACCCCCACCUCCGACACCUCCGUCAGCGGCGGCACGCCUUGCAGCAUCAGAGACGGUGCUGAUGGAGGAAGAGGAGAGAGGGCGAGAGGUUUCCCAGAGACUAUGGGUUGAGGAGGAAGUGGAAGUUUGUCGGCUUAGACCUGGUGUCAUUCCAUCAGUGUUAAACUUCCCGGCUCAUCUUGGAAGAGUACGUGCCAGAAAGACCACGACCAAGCAGCCUUGAGAUCUUAGACAGCGUCUCCCUCAGACCAAAGAACUACAGACUCUUCACAACCUGCUCAAACUCUUGGUACAGGACCUCACCACACGGGUCAAGAAGGUUUCC
ensembl:lncRNA